rnacentral:rRNA from 1 species
GAUAAACGCUGGCGGCGUGCUUAACACAUGCAAGUCGAACGAAGUUUUUCCUUCGGGAGAAACUUAGUGGCGGACGGGUGAGUAACGCGUGGGUAACCUGCCCUGUACAGGGGGACAACAGCUGGAAACGGCUGCUAAUACCGCAUAAGCCCUUAGCACUGCAUGGUGGAUAGGGAAAAGGAGCAAUCCGGUACAGGAUGGACCCGCGUCUGAUUAGCCAGUUGGCAGGGUAACGGCCUACCAAAGCGACGAUCAGUAGCCGAUCUGAGAGGAUGUACCGCCACAUUGGGACUGAGACCCGGCCCAGACUCCUACGGGGGGCAGCAGUGGGGAAUAUUGCACAAUGGAGGAAAAUCUGAUGCAGCGACGCCGCGUGAGUGAAGAAGUAUUUCGGUAUGUAAAGCUCUAUCAGCAGGGAAGAAAAUGACGGUACCUGACUAAGAAGCACCGGCUAAAUACGUG